AUACCAAAAAUAAUUAUUCUAAAUAAUUUCUUGAAUUUUUAGUUUGGUGAAAAUACCAAAAUAACUCUUUUAGACGAUAAGACCCUAUGAAGCUUUACUAUUUUAUAGUUUUUUUGGGGCAAAAUUUAAUUUAAUUAUUUUAAUUCAGUUGUUUGUUGAUCUUAAAAAAUUUUAAGAAAAAGCUACUCUAGGGAUAACAGCAUUAUUUUUGUUAAAGUUCUUAUUAAAUCAAAAGUUUGUGACCUCGAUGUUGAAUUAAGAAAGGUUUAUUGUGUAGAAGCUAUAGAUUUUUAGUCUGUUCGACUAACUAUUUCUUACAUGAUCUGAGUUCAAACCGGA
rnacentral:rRNA from 1 species